rnacentral:misc_RNA from 1 species
GUGAAGAACGCAGCGAAAUGCGAUAAGUAAUGUGAAUUGCAGAAUUCAGUGAAUCAUCGAAUCUUUGAACGCACCUUGCGCCCUUUGGCCAUUCCGAAGGGCAUGCCUGUUUGAGUAUCAUGAACACCUCAACUCUUCAUGGUUUUCCAUGAUGAGCUUGGACUUUGGGGGUCUUGCUGGCCUGUGGGUCGGCUCCUCUCAAAUGAAUCAGCUUGCCGUUUUUUGGUGGGCAUCACAGGUGUGAUAACUAUCUACGCUUGUGGUUUUCCACCAGGGUAACCUUCAGCAGUGGAGGUUCACUGGAGCUUACAAAUGUCUCUCCUCUGUGAGGACAGCCCUUUGAAUGUUUGAUCUCAAAUCAGGUAGGACUACCCGCUGAACUUAAGCAUAUCAAUAAGCGGAGGA